CCUACGGGAGGCUGCGGUGAGGAAUAUUGGUCAAUGGCCGGAAGGCUGAACCAGCCAAGUCGCGUGAGGGAAUAAGGCCCUACGGGUCGUAAACCUCUUUUGCCAGGGAGCAAUGCCGUCCACGUGUGGACGGAAGGAGAGUACCUGGAGAAAAAGCAUCGGCUAACUCGGUGCCAGCAGCCGCGGUAAUACGGAGGAUGCGAGCGUUAUCCGGAUUUAUUGGGUUUAAAGGGUGCGUAGGCGGCCUGCCAAGUCAGCGGUAAAAUUGCGGGGCUCAACCUCGUCGAGCCGUUGAAACUGGGUGCCUUGAGUGGGCGAGAAGUACGCGGAAUGCGUGGUGUAGCGGUGAAAUGCAUAGAUAUCACGCAGAACCCCGAUUGCGAAGGCAGCAUACCGGCGCCCUACUGACGCUGAGGCACGAAAGUGCGGGGAUCAAACAGGAUUAGAUACCCGUGUAGUC
rnacentral:rRNA from 1 species